GGAUUGUAGUCUGCAACUCGACUACAUGAAGCUGGAAUCGCUAGUAAUCGCGAAUCAGCAUGUCGCGGUGAAUACGUUCCCGGGUCUUGUACACACCGCCCGUCACACCAUGGGAGUUGGUAACGCCCGAAGCCAGUGACCCAACCGGAAACGGAGGGAGCUGUCGAAGGUGGGACCGAUAACUGGGGUGAAGUCGUAACAAGGUAGC
rnacentral:rRNA from 1 species